CCAUCUCUACUAAAAGUAUAAAAAUUAGUCAGGCAUAGUGGUUUGUGCCUGUAGCCUCAGCUACUCAGGAGGCUGAGGCAGGAGAAUCUCUUGAACCUGGGAGGCGGAGGUUGCCGUGAGGUGAGAUCGCACCACUGCACUGCAGCUUGGGCAACAGAGUAAGACUCCAUCUCAAAUAAAUAAAUAAGUAAAAAUAAAAAUGCUCAUCUGUGUAUCACUUAAAACUAUGUCUCUGAAACACAGCUCUAAUGCAUAAAGUUAUCUGAAGCCAGGGAUUCCUGCCUUAUCAUUCGGUUAACAGUAGCCAGAGCUGAGUGAGAAAUUUACGCCGUGUCAGUCACCAGAGGAAGUCCUCCCCGAAGCUCUAGAAAUAAGGUAUUUGCAUUGGCCCCAUUUUAGAGAUAAGGAAGCAGACUUAGGUAAAGGUCAUCUCACUAGUAAGUGGAAGUCAGAUUCAAGCCCGAGCUGUCUGAGUUCAGAGUCCACACAAUCAUCACUUUCUCCCACUUCUUGGGAAAAAACACAGGUGUUGAUACCACGGCUUGCCAAGGAAAAAGCAAGCAACCGUCCUGUUGAAGAAUGAAUUCAUUCAGUACUAAAUGCUAAAUUACAAUGUUGAAGACAGCUGGUAUGCUGUGGGCCUUUCUCUGUCCCUGAAAAUCCCAGCGGUCUGCAAAUCAAGAGAGAAAGUAGGCAGAAAAUUGAGCCAGAAGGACUCAUAUAUUGGAGACUCCAUGAGGAUGGAGAAAAUGCAGCAACUUGCCCGAAGUCCCAAAUCUGCUCUCUGUCUUCAAGAACUGAACAAGGAUUCAAUAUGGAUUAGUGAUUAAGAGCUUGGGCUAUGGAUUCAGAACAACCUGGGUUCAAGUCCUGGAUCUGCUCCUUACAAGCUGUGUGAGUUGAAACAUCAAUUUAAAAAUUGAGUGCCAGAGAGGCCCCAGCAUCGGACAGGGAGAGGCAGGGGCAGCAGAAGAUUGAUGUAACCAGGCAUCCUGCUGUAAAUAACAAAACCCAACUCAGGCUGGCUUCAACAGUGGAAGGUGUUAUUCAUUGUCACAUUUGUGUGUGCUUUAAAAGUCAGCAAACUUUCAGUGCCCCUGGAGGCCAUAGGUAGAACCUCCACACCUCUUCUGGGAAUCCUUCCAUUUUUAGUAUGAAGAAAUAGGAACAACAGAGCUGCCUUCCAGAGCCAAGUUGGCAACUAAACCCACCUGCUUCCUGCCUUCCCAAGGCCCAGCUGACAUCAGUGGGAGCCUCACCUAUAUGAGGAGGGACUAGUAUUUGCCUUGGCCUGGCUGCUGCUGUUAUCUGAAAGGCAGCAGGGGCCCCAGGCCAUGCCAUCUCUUGCAGGGAUCCUGGCAGAGCACACAAGUCAAACAGGAUCAGGGUGGGGCAUAACUUGGCCCAGAGAACCCACUGACACCAGCUCAUGAAAGGUGGGAGCAGGGAGUGCCCCAGAUGAAUCAAUGGGUGGCAUGUUUCCCUCUGAGCAGCUGCCAAAAAUGCCUCUCAGGCAUCUGGUUAAGAGGCAGUGAGUACAUGGGGUGGCUGGGAGGCCAACCUCUUUAGGGCCACAAUGAUUUAUCUCAUGUCUCUGUGUACAUAUGUUUCCCUCUACUUGGAGUGUCUUACUCUACUUACCUGCUGGGCAAAACCCUAUUCCUAGCUCAUCUUUCAAGUCCUAGUUCAAGUCUAUGGGGAACCUUCCUGGGAUCUAAUAGGUAGAUUUAGGUGUUUUGUUCCCUAUACAAACUGUACUUAUAUAUUUACUCCACCCACUUUAUGCUGAUAUACUCCAUCUUACAUACUUAUAUACUCCAUCCUCUGUACCACAUUACAAUUGUUUAUUGGUAUAUGGGCAAGACAUGCCAUCAUGCCUGAUGCCUACCAAAAGAUUUUCCUCCAGCUCUGCCCACAGACCCUGUCAAACUGGUGAGGCUGGGAGAGAGUGCAUUUCUACCACAUGAUCCUGCUACCCAACCAUAGCCAAGGAGAGCCAAUCUCCAUAUGGUUGGUGACCUUUGAUGUGGACUAGGUCAGAUCAGAUUCUCACUGUCAGUGAUUUGAAUUGGGAAAGACUUUAGCAAUGAGCAGCAGCAACGGAAGCUGAAAGGUCAUGAAAUACAGAAAGAUCUGAUGUAGCAGAUGCUGUGAUGUGCUGCCCGGAUUCCUCUUCAGGAAUGAUAGAUUUCUUCUCUGUGCCACUGGGAGUGCUGCCAACAGACAGCCCUCAGUUGCCAGCUGUCUUCAGGAAGCAUCUCUUUUAAAGAAAGUCACCCCACCCAAGAUCAUGCACCCUUCCCAGGGAAGCCCAUAUCCAAUGACUGGCUGAAAUUCUCAGUGCUAUCUCAGCUUCAGAGUGACGUGUGUGGUCGGCUGAAUCCUUCAUCAAGACUAGGGGCACCACACAUCCCUGUGUGACUGGGAUAGAGUUGUCCUUUAAGGCGUAAUGACCUUUUAAGCUCAGUCCAUGAAGUUCAUGAAGACUCUCCUGUAAUGGCAGCUGGCCUUAAAUUCUUAGGCUUUUCCACUGUCCAUAUGGUUCUCUGUGUUCC
rnacentral:lncRNA from 10 species